CCGAUGUCUGACAAAAUGGUAGUACGUUACACAACGUUACAAUCUCGUUAGCCAUAUUAAAAAGCAUUUUCAAAUGAAAAUCCAGUACCGACGGUUCUGAACAGUGCUGUUAGCUAAUUUCCAAACACGCUCUUAGUUAGUUAGUUAGUUGAGUAUCUGUUGUGAUCGACUUCCGUCUAUUAUUUUGUUCCUGUAAUUUAUUUCCAUAUUAUAUUAUACUUUGGUAUGAUUUUGCUACGUGAAAUAUUUUUUCCUCUACAUUCGGUUUGGUUUCUAUUGUGCUCCACGUGGCUCCAGGUUGCCGACAGAAGGCCAAAGUCGACAUGAAUUGGCGUAUCAUCUUGUUCGAGUGAGUUCUCCCAGCGAGUCCUGACAGAGCUGUCUACUUUCAGCAACAACAAAUGGACAAGCAAACACACUAGAUGAUUUUCAACCGGUUCUAACUUGGUGAUUGCACUCUGAGCUUCCAAGAACGAGUCGACUAGAGCAUGCAGAGAUGGAGCUGACUUGAUAGUUGGAGGUGGAGCGUUGAUGAUCAUAUCCAGGUAGGAUUUCAAUAUCAACCUCUUGCUUUUAUACUGAUUUUUGACUGCUUUCCAAGCUGGUUCCAACAAACUGUUCAUGAUUGGUAAAGAUUUUACCACUGAGAUGGCCGAGCCCUUCAAGCAUCCUUUGAGGUAUUGGAGUUUGUCAACAUUAGCAAACUAAGUGUUGUUUAGCACUAUAUUUUGCAAAGAUUCGCUAAAAGCGGAUCACUUAUAAUCUCUGUCAAAAUCUGGGAGUGGUAUGUCAGAUAUGUCGAUUUUUAAACCUCUCUUAAGCUGGCAGGACCAAAUCAGCAGAAUCGUAUCGGACUUAGUGGAGUAUUUAGUACUUAUUAGGUUGUCCCAAAAGUUUCUUUUGUAAUUUCCACUCAAUUAUUUUGUGCGGUAGUGUUUAUAUAAAUAGACACUCUAAUUUCUUAGAUGUUGAUGUUGUAACAGUAAUGGAGCAAAAUGAAUCAAUUCAAUUCAAUUCAAUAAUGUAACAUUAGACAUAAAAUAUUGUGUAUGUAUUACUUAUUAAUAAAACGAAAGAAACUUUUAGGACAACCUAAUAUUUUGUACUAAUUUACACCACCAAAAGAAAUUUUGUACCUGUUACCGUUUUCAAGAAAAUCGUGACGCUGCUAGCUUAAUAUUAAGCUAGUGGCUGAAAAUAUUAAAAAUUAAUAUAAAUGAUAAAAUCAAAGCGGAUACAUUUAGUACUGAAUUUCUACUAAUUUGUACCACCAAAAGAAAUGUUGUACCUGUUACCGUUUUCAAGAAAAUCGUGUCGCUGCUAGUUUAACGUUAAGCUAGUGGCUGAAAAUGUUAAAAAUUAACCACCUCUUUCAAUGUGUUACAACAUUUUUGGGACACACUGUAUAGAGCUGUUGAGUAUUCACAUGAAUUAACUAGAAAUUAUUUCAUAUUUUUCAUUGCAUUUUCCAAGACCUUUAAGCAAUUAUACUUGCAUGCAACCGAUCACCAGUUCCGAUUUGGACCUUUAUGUCCCAAGGCAUGGUUGAUGAUCAGAGGAACAAAAAUCAUCAUGCAACUCCCCAGCCGCCAAAUAUUCUUCAUCGUCUGAACGUUGAAUCUGCUAAUAAUGCUAUCAGAGUAUAUACGCCUAAAGAAUCUGCAAAAAUUAACAUAAAAUUUAAGAAUCUAUUUUUAUCAUUUGGUCGUUGCAAUUUCAAUAAAAAGCCGAAUUAAGUCUAGGUACUUACAUUUUUGGCUCGUAGAGCACCGCUCAAUGAAACGAUGAUUCGCCGUCACUGACUCUAUUAUCGGUAACGAAGUAUUUUAUAUAGUACAUGAUAAUUAAAAAAAACAAAAAAGUAAAAAUAAAAAAAUCUGUGAACGCGCGCGAAAAUUGUACUCGGCGAACAAAACUGACUCUAGUUUCGCGAUUGAAAAAGUAGUAAGAAUCAUCGUGUUCUGAAAUGAAUUUUCAAUGCGCAAAAAACACUCUGUUAUAAAAUAGAGUAAAAUAUUAUAUAAAAUAUAUAAAAAGACUCUAUUCUUUCGCUCUCUAAGAAUUUUAAAAUCUGUUUCUUCCCCAUUCUUUAGAAUCGUUUAUAACCGUUGGUACCGCGUUUCGUUUCGUUUCGUUUGUAUCUCAAUAGUUUAAAUUGUACAAUUCAAAUGUAUCAACAAUUGUUUGAUAUAGUGAUAUGACCUUGUAAUAUCUAACUCCACAUGUUUAACUGAAACAUAAAAUUAAUAUCUAUUGAAUAUCAUAAAGUUUUAUAAUGGCGCAACGAGCCAAUAAAAGGAAAUAAUUAAGAUAAAAAUUUGCAAUUAUUAGGGGUUGUUUCUAUUAAUACCAGUAAAAAUUCUGUCAAAUUCCAAACGGUUUCAUCAAUUUUCAUUGGAGUUAAAGAAAAAAGAAGUAACCGAUUGAAAAAAAUUCAUGUAUGUAUUUUUCAUUUAAAACUUUCGAAGAUUUGGGGCACGUAUUAAAGUUAACAUCGAUAGCUUGUUGUAUGUCUAAAAAAAUAGGGGAAAAAACAGAUUUCGAAAAUUUCAAUGUCGAGUGCUGACCAUUUUCUGAAUUUAUUUUUAAUUUAUUUUUAAUUAUCAAUCGAUGAUGGUACAAACGAAACUAUUAUUACUACAAUCAAGUACAAACAAAAUGCAAUCAUUUUCUAUAAAAAAAAAAAAAGAUUAAUUUUUUGAUAAAGUCGGGUGCCAGGUUCACAUAGCUUGUUUAUGCUGACACUUGAAUUUGAAUUACCACAACAGAUACACUGGUUCAUCGGCUACGCUACCGCGCAGAGUGCUUGCGACUAUGGACCGGGUCUUCCUGUAUCGAGACGGAUACCCCAUUUCGCUCGGUUUCAUCAACCCUACUCCAACCAAAAAUAUUCAGGCCGAAGCAAAAUUUCAUAUACAUUUUAUGAAAAACAAUCGAGUGUUUUUCAAAGAACGCUUCGAAAAACAUCUGUUUACCAUAUGUUUAAAGGGGCAAUAAAGAACCUAUUCUAAUCAUAUCAGAAUCAUAUCAAACGCCAUAUUCGUGUCGAUAACACCUGAUUUAUAUGUUUAUUGUUUUUUUAUAAUUUUUAUUAAAACAUUAUUAAUUCGUCCCACUUUGCGUCGUGCAUUUUGCAACCGUGGAUCGUGCUUUCGGCAGCCCUUAUCAUAAAAAUCGUGAUUAGGACUGUCUGUGUAAAAGCACACUGCAUUUACUUGUAUAAGUCUGAAAGUCUCAAGACACCGUGUCGAACGCUAAGUGAUUGCGAAAAAUGGAGUGGACAAGUGAACGCAGUAUAGAGUUAAUCGGGAAGUUUAAAAAACACGAAUGUCUGUGGAACGUUGCUCUGAGAGAGUAUCGAAAUAUCGCAAAGAAAAAGGACGCGUGGGAGGAGAUUAGCGAGCAUUUUUCUACAAAUCCAAAGGAGGUGGAAAAGAAGAUGAAAUCUCUGUUGGCUGCCUACAGAAGAGAGAGGAAAAAGAUAUUGGAUUCAAAAAGAUCUGGGAGCGGAAUCGGUGCCACGUACGAAUCCAAAUGGUUUGCGUAUAAGCAUAUGAAAUUUUUACACGGCAUAAACAAGCCGAGAGCAAUGAGGGCGACAAGUAUCAAGAUGAGGCGUGAGAGUGAAAGCGAGGUUCCUGAAAAUAAUGAGGAUAGCGGAGAAGGAAACUCUUUGAAACAAUUUGAACCACUUGGACAAGGGAAGAAAAGGACAGCAGCGGACAGGACAGACAUUGCAUUCACAACGAUGCAAGAAUUACUGAAUCAAGAAUUGGAGAAAAAGAGAGACGAAUAUUCCAUAUUUGGGGAAUUAAUGGCGCUAGAAAUACGAAAGCUGCCAACCGAGCUUGAGCGAACCGUCGUUAAAUUUAAAAUACAAGAGAUAUUAUUUCAAGCUGCCAUGGGAGCAUUUAAACGAAGUCCAGAAUAUACGCCUGUGUGCUUCGAACGUGGAGAAAGCUCCAGCUCUGGACAACAAAAUAAUUUUUAAAUCUACUUUCUUUUUAUUAUUUUUAUCAUUAUUAUUAUGCGCAUAACAUUACGAAUAUAUACAGGGUGUUAAUCUCUUGGGUACGGAUUUAUUUGAGAAAAUAUUCGCAUGUGGAACGGAUAUAAUUUUUGGUUGCUUGGAGAAGAUUCACUAUCACUGCUCGAUAGACGUCUUGUGCGUCUUCGAAACCUUGAUAUUAUAUUAAAAUUGUCAUCAUUUUCUAUUUCAAUAUCGUCUUCAUCACCUUCGCCUUGUAUUUCAUUGUAAUUGUCAAUUUCAGGAUCACUGAACAAUUCUUCAGAUUUCUCAAAGUCAUUUUCGCUAUCACUAUCAUAAAAUAUAUUCCUUGUUUUUGACAUAAUGGGGCAGUGUAUCGCAAAUAAUGUUCACCAAAAUACUGUAAUUGCCUCUUCUAUUAUGACUGAUACAAGCUACAAUGUUUUAGACACGUAAUCCGCUCCUAGGGAAAACAAGUGAAUGACAUGUCUUAGACGUCAAAUGUACCCAAGGGGUUAAAAAAAAGCAUUCGAUAUUUAUAUGAUGGUGUAUAGGCACACUGUACCGAGUAAAAAAGCUUUAGUAAACAUAGGUCCGAAGGUCAACCGUUUCUGAGAUAUAAACAUUUUUGUUGGCUAGUAUCAUGAUUGACUUACUUGCUUUCCAUCGCAUGCGAUGUUUAUGUCAGUGUUUAUAAAUUGCGUUCUGAAUGUUCCCAUUCAAAUGCCGACAAUUUCGUCAAUUCCAUUUUUUCAAUUUCGUGUACAGAAAUGAGCGGUGGACACGUGGAAAAUCUUCUAUAAAUAUCGAAAACCCAGUAGUAUUUAUAUCUCAGAAACGGUUGACCUUUGGACCUAUGCUUACUAAAGUUUUUUUACUCAGUACAGUGUGCCCUACACCAUAUAAAUAUUGAAUGCUCUUUUUUGAACACCCUGUAUGUAUGAAUGGAUAAAAAUGUGGAUGGACGGAUGGUAUACUGCCGCUCAAAAGUAUGUGGACGCUCCCUUAAUUCUUAUAACUGAAAAAAGUUAUGAUAUCUUUAGUAAAUUUGAUUAUCUUGUAUAUAUUCCAUUUCUGACAGUGUCAGAGAACAUAUUUUAAUGAUAUUGGGGGUUGUCCAGAAAGUUCGUGCCAAUUUUUCAGAAACAUUCGAAGACAUGUUUGAAUUUCGAUAUAUAUUUAUUGAAUUAUAUAUGUACCAUUCUGUUCCACAAUUUUUCCACUUUUUAAGGGAUGUCCACAUGUUAUUUGUUUUCAACCAUUCCGAUAUAUUCAGACCUGUACCGCCUAUUAAAAAUCGGCAUGAACUUUCCAGACAGCCCAAUAAUUUAUUAAAUAUCUCACCGAUAAUGAUAAAAAGUAAUUACAGUGGGUGUAGAAAGUAUUCGUACACCGAUCAAUUUCCAAAAAAAAACUACUAUGUAAAAUUGUAAUUUAUUAACUUAUUUGUUAUAAACAAUGACAUUCUACAUAUUCUCGGAAAUCUCUAAAAUAGAUAGAGUACACAAAAAAAAAUAGCUAUUUAUGUAAGUUACGAAAUUAACAAGAAAAAAACAAUUAAUCGAUAGAAAUAUUGAAGCAAUAAGUAUUCGCACAACUGUUUAAGGUUUAAAACUUGAUUAAAAAAAAAAGAAAUUUACAUUAAUUUAUAAGUAUAUAAUACUUCCUUCGUGGGAUUAAAUUAACUAAAUGUAUUAGUUAUUCGAAGUGGAUUUUCUUUGAUUCCUCUAUUAGAGCCAUUUUUAAAAGUACUUUACUGGAAAUUUGAUGCUUUCUAAAUUCAUACGGAGCAAUAAACUAAUAAUGCUUUUACGUUACAAACUCUACUGUAACUGGUUCGUCAUAAGAAUUCUCAUUCUUCAUUCGCAUGUUUUUGUUAAUUUCACAAAUUAUAUUAACUAGUAAAUGUUGUUUGGACUAUAUUUAUCUUAGAGACUUCCGAGAAUAUGUAAAAUAUCAUUGAUUAUAAGAAAAGGAAGUUAAGAAACUACAAUUUCACACAAAAGUUUUUUGAGAAAUUGAUCGGUGUACGAAUACAUUCUACAUCCACUG